rnacentral:misc_RNA from 1 species
AAAGUCGUAACAAGGUUUCCGUAGGUGAACCUGCGGAAGGAUCAUUAGUGAAUCAAAUUUCUCUUUGGUUUCGGCCAGAGAGUGCGUCUUGGAGCCCUCGUGCUUCAGGACGUAGAUAUCACAUCUAUAACACCUGUGAACUGUCUGUCAAGAACAAGGCUUUGGCUUUGGACUUGUACAAUUUACCAAACUAUACUUUUAAAAAAUGUCAUUUUAUUAUAAACAAAUAAAACUUUUAACAACGGAUCUCUUGGCUCUC